rnacentral:tRNA from 1 species
UACCACCGAUGAGGUUCGAACUCACGCGCAGCUUUCGCCGCAGAAGUGCUUAAGACUCCCGCCUUAACCACUCGGCCACAGUGGC